rnacentral:misc_RNA from 1 species
GAUGAAGAACGCAGCGAAAUGCGAUAAGUAGUGUGAAUUGCAGAAUUCAGUGAAUCAUCGAAUCUUUGAACGCACAUUGCGCCUCCUGGUAUUCCGGGAGGCAUGCCUGUUCGAGCGUCAUUAAAAUCACUCAAGCUUAGGUUUACCUAUUGCUUGGUCUUGGAGAUGGAAGCCAAUUCAUUGGAAUCCUCUUCGAAAUCCAAUGGCGAAGACCCUUGCUCUCCCAAGUGUAGUAAUAACUUAUGUCACUGAAGGAAUCGAGAAAUCUUCCGCCGUAACCCCCAUAUUUUCUAUGAUUGACCUCGGAUCAGGUAGGGAUACCCGCUGAACUUAAGCAUAUCAAUAAGCGGAGGA